GGUCGCUUAGCUCAGUUGGUUAGAGGUACGGUUCACCACGCCAAGGUCGCGAGUUCGACCCUCGUAGUGACCA
rnacentral:tRNA from 1 species